UCUCGGAAAAGUCAAUUUCAUUUUCACUUCCCCACGUCGCGGCGGCAGGAGCAACAAGCGGCAGCUCCAUACAUCCAAUCAGUUGUAUCCUACUGACUUACUGAUGCUACUCCCGACUAUCUCUGGACCUGGCCCAUCCCUGGUUGCCUGCUAACUGCUCCCUGUCUCCUGCCUUGGAUUCUCCCAGGCCAGCAGCCACACUACUGCCCAAGUUCAGUAGAAAAUUAACUUCAGAUAAUUGGCGAUAAGAAAGAAAACACUGCCAACCAGGAUUGAAACACCGUAAGAUUGAAGGAGAGAAAGAAAUAUGUACACUGAGAACCAUCAGGCUGUGCAGGUGUCAACAUGGCGGGGGAAGCUCACGUUGGCUAGCCAGGCAGAGCCAGCCACUUGAGAGAUACCAGCGUUAUAGUUCCAUCAUCAAUUGGGUUAUGCUCAAAUUGUCCCCAUCUUUCAUUGUUUUUAUUUCCUAUCUUGAUGAGGACUUUUUGUCUUUUCAAUGAUGUAGAACCAACAGAAUUAUGUCCAGUUGUUUCACAAUGUAUGUGGUUGAUGUCAUGCUUCUAUAAUACUUUCUGACAAAGCUUUUUUCCGAUUGAGAAACUGAAGAAACAUUAUCUCUGACUCUGUCAUGGCUCACAAUGCUUUUAAAUAUCUUGCCACAUAUACACUUUUUUAUUUGUUGACAUUUUUGCUUAUUUUGAACUUUAUGCCGGUGGGAAAUAUUUAGCUAUACAUUGAGGGUAAAAGGAAAAUAAAGUUUUCUAAGCAUAGUAUGACCACCACAAAGAUGGUCAUAUACAUAAAAUCAAAGGCAAGUACAUCAAAACAUUCACAGUGGUUGUCUUUGAGUGAUGCAACUAUGGGAGAUUUUGUUUCCUAUUGAAAAAGUAACAUUUUUAA